rnacentral:rRNA from 1 species
UACGGAGGGCGCGAGCGUUAAUCGGAAUUACUGGGCAUAAAGCGCGCGUAGGCUGUUGUGUAAGUUGGGGGUGAAAUCCCACGGCUCAACCGUGGAACAGCCCUUGAUACUGCGCGACUUGAAUCCGGGAGAGGGUGGCGGAAUUCCAGGUGUAGGAGUGAAAUCCGUAGAUAUCUGGAGGAACAUCAGUGGCGAAGGCGGCCACCUGGACCGGUAUUGACGCUGAGGCACGAAAGCGUGGGGAGCAAACAGG